AGGGUAGGUGGCCCGAGGAGGAGCUUGCUGGGGGCUGGGGGGUGGGGGGAUCACACUACAGCAGAAGCCUGGAUCCUGAGAAGUAGAAGCCUCACUGUCUCGAAGUUCAUUCCCCUUUCUUCUCUGAAAUGGCCACGUUAAGAUCCAAGUGUCCGUUCAUGCCCAUGAUACCUUUCAACUAAAUGAACAACUAGA